AGUCUUUGCGACUUUUGGGGUGGUUCCUAAACAGAAGGUUGUACUUGCCACCUACAUGCUCGUGGGAGAGGCAGGUCACUAGUGGUAGCUCAAACAUGCCACCCUGCCCGUUCCAGUCACUUGGGAACAGAUCCUGAUGGCCUUCAAUGCAAAGUACCUCUUAGAGCACCUUUGACAUUUGAAGAAAAUGAAGUUUGCACACCUAGUCUAUGGUGAUAUGACUGUGUCAGAGUAUACUCGAAAGUUCUAAGAGUUGGGCCAGUAUUCCCUCAAGAAUAUGAUAAAUGAAGGCAGGAAGGCAAAGAAGUCCGAGUGGGGCCUUCGUCCUGAGAUCAGAUAACAGUUGUAUGUAUUUGAGCUCAACGCCUACUUAGUCAUCCUUUCCAAGGCACAGCUGGUAGAGAGGAACCUUUAUAUCUUUCCUCCAGUAGUGAAAAAUUCCAAACCCCCUGUUUCACAUUGCAGACCAAUACCCACUUUACCAGUUCAGCAAAACAAGAGACCUAGGUUAGUGAUUGAGGUUCCUCCUCAGGUUUCAGAAAUAGGACGUGGUAGGACUUGCUAGCAUUGUGACAAGGAUCAUGGGGAUCGACUCUACUAUCGUCUAAACAAUACAUGUCAUAUAUGUGAGAGUGUCCAACACUACGCGAAAGAGUGCCUGCAAAAUCAUAAUCAGGCUAAACCUCCUAUCCAG
rnacentral:lncRNA from 1 species